UGGGGAAUUUUGGACAAUGGGCGAAAGCCUGAUCCAGCAAUGCCGCGUGUGUGAAGAAGGCCUUCGGGUUGUAAAGCACUUUUGUCCGGAAAGAGAUCCUUGGCUCUAAUACAGUCGGGGGAUGACGGUACCGGAAGAAUAAGCACCGGCUAACUACGUGCCAGCAGCCGCGGUAAUACGUAGGGUGCAAGCGUUAAUCGGAAUUACUGGGCGUAAAGCGUGCGCAGGCGGUUUGCUAAGACCGAUGUGAAAUCCCCGGGCUCAACCUGGGAACUGCAUUGGUGACUGGCAGGCUAGAGUAUGGCAGAGGGGGGUAGAAUUCCACGUGUAGCAGGUGAAAUGCGUAGAGAUGUGGAGGAAUACCGAUGGCGAAGGCAGCCCCCUGGGCCAAUACUGACGCUCAUGCACGAAAGCGUGGGGAGCAAAACAGGAUUAGAUACCCUGGUAGUCCACGCCCUAAACGAUGUCAACUAGUUGUUGGGGGAUUCAUUUUCCUUAGUAACGUAGCUAACGCGUGAAGUUGACCGCCUGGGGAGUACGGUCGCAAGAUUAAAACUCAAAAUGAAUUGACGGGGUCAUAGCUGUUUCCUG
rnacentral:rRNA from 1 species